GCAUGAGCUACCAUACCUGGCCUCAAUUUCACAUUUAAUAGCAAAGUCAGCUAUAAGAAAAAGUCAUAUUUGUGAUCAUGUUCAUCAAUAGAAGAUUGAUUGGAGUCUGGGCAUGGUGGCUCAGGCCUGUAAUCCCAGCACUUUGGGAAGACAAGGCGGGAGGAUCACUUGAGCCAGGGAAUUUGGGACUGCAGUGAACUAUGAUUAUGCUGCUACGCUCCAGCCUGGGUAACAGACCAAGACCCAAUCUCAAAAAAAAAGAAAAUGAUUGGAGUAAGCCAAACUUAGUGCCAUUCACACAUCGCUAAAUUUCAGAACUCCUGGGCACAGUGGCUCCCAGCACUUUGGGAGGCUUAGGUGGGAGGAUUGCUUGAAGCCAGGAGUUCAAGACCAGCCUGCAUGACAUAGCGAGACCCCAUCUCUACAAAACAUUUUUUUAAAAAAUAAAGUUUAGAACUCAUUGCAGAACAUCCCAUGCAGUAGGAUUCCAUGGAAUUUCUCCCCCAAACACACGCCUUUGUUUUUGUUUUUUGAUAGAUAGUGUCUUGCUAUGUUGCCCAGGCUGGAGUGCAGUGGCUAUUAAUACGUGUGACCAUAGCACACUACAGCCUUGACCUCCUGGGCCCAAGUGAUCCUCCUCCUGCCCCAGCCUUCUGGGUAGCUAGGACUGCAGGUAUGUGACAACAGUGCCCAGCUCCAAGGACUUUCUUUAGAGUACCCAUGACUGUGUGUGUGUCACAGGGUUCCCCUGGAGUGGGGAGUGGUGUUGGGGCUCCAGGCUCCCCUCCUUGACUUUAAACUAGAGCUCUCCACUUUUGACUUGUGCAGUGCUUCACACAUAAGCUUUCAUUGAAGAAAAUGGUUCUACUUUCAUUUGAAAACCAUGGACCUGUGGGAAGACGUCUAACCUCCCAACACAGCCUUUAUGUUCUUCCCAAAUGUAUAUUCCUCUGACCUUUCAAACUUUGUCUUCUAUUAAUAAAUUAUUGCUCUAGACCACCCCCCGGCCUUUCCCCAACACCCCAACACAUUCCUGUCUCCAAACCUCUGCUUGGCCUUUUCCUUCUGUCUAGCAGGUCUUUCUUUCCAAAUUUGCCUAAUUUCCACCCUUCCUCCAAAGCCGAAUUCAAUCCCAUCUUCAGACAUCCUUCCCGGCUCCCCUCUUGGAAUUCUCUCUUCUCCUUAUGAUGCGUGUGCAUUUAUUACAGCACCCAGGGUUGGGAUGACACUUUCUAACCAGAUGGCAAGGUCUCAGAAGCAGGCCUUCUGUGUCCCCCUCCCAAGGCCACGUGUUUUACGUAGGACAGACGUGUGCUGACCUGCUCUGAAAGCAGUUUCCCAGAGAAGGCCAGGAGCCCUUAUAACCUGAGACUUAGACAAGUGCCUCUGCAGGGACUCACUCCGUAAUCUUCUGCAUUCUGCCUUCUCCCAAUAACCUUGAUGGCCUUGAUCCUAGAUCCUAUCUUGAGUGCUCUCCCUCUAUUGGGAGCUAUUUCCAAUACCGUCACUGAGCACACCCACUUGACUAAUACUGGAAUUCAGCAGUCUUCACGCAGAGCCAAGCCGUUCAGACAGGGAGGAGAGAAGCAGGGCCUGGGGCGGUCAGCAGGGCUGGACUCCACCUACCUUGGCCGUGCCUGGGUGAGGGCUUAGGUCCAGCCAGCCUGUCUGACCCAGAAAGCCCUGGGUUUCUGGGCUUGUCCUCCACACAAGUUCUUGCCCUUCAAAGAUUCCAGACUGACUGAGUUAUUGCUCAUCUAAAGUCAAUGCAGUGGGACAUCUCCCUAGGGCUCCCAUCUCCUGAGAACCAGAUUUAGAGGGGGCUUGGGAGGGGCCUGUGUCUUCCUCCUUGCCAAGAGGUAUUUGUCUGGCAGCGUUCAGAGAGGGUAAGAUGGGAGGAAGCUGGUUUGAGGGGUGCUGGGAAUUGACAGCACAUCUCAGCAGGAGGUGUCAAACAGACGUUUUGGGGGUUCGGGAGUGGCACAUGUUAAAGCCACUUCCCACACAUAGGAGUUCUAGCUCCCCCAAUCUCCCCCAAACUAUGGAGAGAGGCAAUAAAGCAAGGUUGGCUCCGGCCUCAUGGGAAAUUGAGGAAUCAGGAAUCCUGAAUACCAUGGGGCAUGUGCUGCUGAAGGAAGCCCUCCAAUCCCAUGCCCAGAGGGAGCACAGGGCAGACCAUUUGCGUGAGCGGUGUGCCCAUUCUUUGACAUGAAAAGCUUCUGAAACCUGAGGCCCUCGUGCACACACACACUCUUGACAGCAACAUGCACCUUGCAUAGACACAGGUGCCAAGAUGGGCCACACCAGCAUGUGGCCUAGACAGGCACCCAGCAGACAACAGCCUGGUCAUGGGCCAGGGUCACAUGCCCCAAAGAAGGCAAGAAACACAAUGACCAGAAUGAGGCUGAGAGUGGAGCUAGAAUCUAGUUAGAAAAUUGCUGUGAGCACUGGGGAGGAGCAGGGGCUGUAACAGUGUCCAGUAUUGAGGGGCUUAGCGGGAGGUGGGGGGUGUAAGGAGAUGCAAAGUGCUUGGCCUGUGGUAGGGCCCAAAAUGUUACUCUUCUCCUUCCCUCCACUGUAGGAUGCAGGCUCCUCCCUGGAUAAUUAAGUCUCCAAGCCCCACCUGACUUCUCCAAAUAAUGAGGCUGCCCCACUGCCCAGCACUGGCCAGCAUGGAGCUCAGCUCACAUUUGCUAAUGGGGAUUCUAUGUCAGCAGGUGCAUUGGGCAGGGGUGCCUAGCAUGCCUCAGGGAUCUAUCCUGGGUCCCCUCCUCUUCAGCACUCUCAGCCCAGCUUUGGGGGCACUCUCAGGCAACACAGAGUUCUUUACAAGCUGGAACCAUGGGUCCAACCUAACCAGAUGAAAUUGCAUGGGGAAAAAUAUACAAGCCAGGACUCAGGUUUAAAACAUUACCCGUCCAGGGAUAAGUUAGGGAGGACCAGGUAACAACAGUUCGUCAGAAAGACUUGGGAGUUUGUCACCUACAAGCUUAAGAUGAGUCACGGGAGUGACGUGGCCAGCCGAAGGGCCACUGUUACCUUCAUCUAGGUGAACAGAGGCUUGUAAGUGGGCAGCUGACACCAGCCCAGUUUGGUUGGUCUGGACAAGGAUGACCACUUUGUUGAGGGGCUUGGAAAACCCUGCCCAUAGAGGAAAUUUUCAGGUACUAGGGGUGUAGUGUCUGGGACAGAGAAGACUUGAGUCCCUGAGGGCUGAUGUCAAGGCUUGGAAAGAAGCUCCAUGGGCAAGAGGGCAGCAAUGGACUCUUGCUAUGAGCUUCCAGGGGGCAGUCUAGAAGGACUGGGCAGAAGCUGAGGGGGUAGCGUUUCAGUCAAAGGAGGGAGAACUUUCUAACAGACAGAACUGUCCAGCAAUGAGAUGGUACCUUUAGGAAGGAGAGGAACGUUUGAGCCCAAGUGUGUGGGAAGAGAUUCCUGCCCUGGGAAGAAGGAGGCUGGACUCUGCCUUCAAAUGCCCCUCGCUCCCACUCCCAGAUUCUCUGUCUGUCCUGCCCUGCCUGGGGCUGAGCUGGUUCUCAGCAUGAUCUCCGUCUAGCUCAGUAGCCGGAGACUUGGUAUUUCUAGUCCAUUCUGCCGCCAGUGAAUGCCCCAGCCUGACCUUGCUUCUCAGCCCCAAGGAGGGGGCAGGGCUGCCUGCAUGCGUGGCUUACUCAGGCCGAACCCCAGGACUCCAAGGCCUGAGUCAUGCUGGCCGCGGGAGGUGUCUGCACACAGACGCCAGUCAUUGCUCUGGCCAGGGGGGAGCACACAAGCUCCAUAUCCUUUUAUGUCCCUGUGUGGAUAUUCCCAGCCGAGAGUCAGGAGCUGUGAGUGGGGCUGGCCAGGGUAUCUGUCAUUCCAGCCUUCAGUGGCUUAAGGGGUGCAGGGGUCUGGAGAAAUGAGACUGGGCUGUGGGUGAGGGUGUAGGUCUGUACCCCUUACCCCGUCUUUCUUCAGGAGGCCCACAGCCCCUAAAGACCAUCUGAGACUCUGGCUUGCCAUUUGUCACAUCUCCCUUGCCGCACCCACAGCCUUCAGGGACAAGUCUGUGAGACUCCUCUUUCAUCUCUACCCACGGGUUUUGGCCAUCAGAAGCAGGUCCACAUAUGCGGCCACUGUUUCUGCCGUUCUGCUAGAGGAGUGGGAUCAGCUGCAGCCUGCGUCCCUGGGGAAAGCAAGAGUUCCUGACGGAGACUCUGCAGUUUGUAUGCCCGAACCCAUAUUCACUUUGACCCUGACCCAUCCUCAGCUUGGCCUUGGGGCUCUCCCUCAUCUCUGACCCUUCCAACUACACCCCAGUUGGGCCUCCUCUGCUGGGGUUCCUCUGGGACUUUUGACCUGGUUGCGGGGGGCGGGUGGAGAACCUCCCUUUCCCCUAGAUGAAGCCCAGAAACAGCCUGAGCUGGUUUUGGUUCCUCUUCUUCACACCUACAUGAUGAAAUGAGAUGGUCCACGUGGACGGGCUGUGUCGCCUGUGAUGCUCUGGUCACACUGAAGUCAUGAUGUGUGGUAAUUGUCUAUGGAGAGGGGUCAUAGAAAGCCAGGCUCUGGGGCUUGGACCAGCUUCACCGUGCGCUAUAGCAGCUUCCCCUCCCGGCUGGUGUGCAGGGUGGGGCUGGAGGUAUAGUUUAUGACCAGCCUCUGUGGAUGCCCCAGCCCAGGCCCUGGUUCUGUUGGAAGGAGGCUCUCAGAUCGAGGGUCGCAUAGACAGGGUCUGCUCUAGGUCUGCCAGGAUCGGCCUUUCCAGCAGGAUGGGUCCCUGGCAUACCCACCCCAGGACCUGGAAUCUUCUUGUUCCUGGUUCUUAGCCAUCUAAUUUUUGUUCUAUUUGGACCUUUCAUUGAUGAGAAUUAGCAGCCCGUCCCCACCCCCCAGCCCCUGCCUUAAAGAAGUGGACAUUUUAAGCGGCUCGAGUUGGUCUUCGAGUUCAAGAGGACAAAUGGAAUACAGAAUGACGAACCUGGCUUAUGGCCAGGAGCCCCCAGUUCCUUUUUUUUUUUUUUUUCUGGCAAGUUUGUGUAACCAAAAGGCCCCAGUUCUUAGCUCAACAUGAGAGUGUAAAACCCAGCGUUCAAGGAAUGUGAACCAAUACCUGGUAUGGGCAAGGACAAGGAGGAGAAUAGGAAGCAGAAGGAAUAGAAGGACCCAGACUAACUCCAGAGGAAAAUGGUGAGCUAAGACCUUUACUGCAUCACAAAUCAAUAAAUACUUAUUGAGAAGCUGCUACAUGCAAGAUUCUCCUGCCUGUACCACUACGCCCGAGGUUUUUGUACUGUGACACUGAGGGACAGUCUGCCAAGCUGCUCACGGCCCUUCAGUGAGUGGGUGGGGGCGGAGGAGAGGGUCUGUGUUCUGAGGGGACAUUGGCCCUGGAGACAGGGUGUGUAGGAGAUUCGUGAAGGGGGAACGAGGCACUGGUGGCUGGCUGAAGAGCUCCAGAGCCCAGAUGGUCCUAGGACUCCUGGGCUCCUGGCUAGACCCUGAGUGAGGGAUCCAGAUAUUGGAAUGCCUGGCUGAGGAUCACUCAUUUGAGGUGUGACAUGAAGAAAGUCACUGGGUCCCUUUCCCCCAGAUGUAGGUUUUCUUGGGACAUGCCCUGCUGCCCCUGCCCCCUGCCCCCACCUGUCCCUAGUAGGUCACUCAGUGAGGUGAGGCGUGCAGUUAGGGGAAACUCUUAAGGUUUCUCAGAAGCUGGGACCCGCCGGGUCUCCAGUUGGUUACUAAGAUGUCCAACUGGGUCAGGGCUCGUGGUCAGUUUGAAGCUGCAGGCAGAGGAAGACGCCCAGUAACCUAAUCAGGCGAGGCCAGCGGCUGUGACCGGGGGCCAGGGUGGGAGCACAUUGCCCCUUUGGGGCCGCGGGUUUUUAGUCUGAUUUGGGGUAUUGCCCAGACUCUGUGAUUAGACUCAGGGCAGCUUCAUGGGCUUGCAACUGGGGCAGUCACACGGGGGCCUGCACCCAGCAGGACCCCCCACGAGGUUUAGUGCUCUGCUGUUGCCUUCUUAUUUAUAAUAAUUUUUCAACAAGGGGCCCCAUGUUUUCAUUUUGCAUUGGGUCCCACAAAUUAUGUAGCAGGUCCUGGUUAGAUGAAUGGUCCGGCUCUGAUUCCACCUACGGUUUGGAUCCGAGGGGCCAGGCUUUGGGUAGUCAGCCCUUCUGCCCACUUUCUCCCCGUGUCCUACUUACACUUCCCAGCCUUGGGAUCUGGGCAAGCGAGAGGCGGGCUUCUCUGAGCAAGUCUGGGAACAUGGUUGGUGGAACUACAAAGUCCACUCCACAAAGUCCACUCCAGCCGGGGGAGCAGGAGGGAGUCAGACAAUAUCUUAGGGUAAGUUUGGGACAGGAGAGUUGGUAGGAGCCAGGGUUUGGCUCCUUCAUGAUCUAACCCAGAGUGCAGCCCCGAAACAAGUCCUCUCUCCAGGGGGAGAAAAGACAGUGAAGAAGUUUCCAAGAAACCCUUACAACCAGCCUCUGCCGUCGGCUCACAAGGAACCCUGUGUUUCUCUGGUUGAGCUGCUCCACACACACACACAUCUUCUGGGAGCCCAGUGACAACCAAGUCAACUGCACCACUACGCUUCACUGGAGAGACUUGAGUGGUGGCAGCGUAGUGCUGGAGACCAUUUUCUUAGCCCACCCAAGAAACCUUUCCAAGAAUACCUUAUCUCUAGAGAUUCUACAACAGGUUCCAAGACAUUUGUCAGAUUAACAGUUUUCUCACCCUGCUCCCUGACUCCAGCCUGCUGGGAUCCUCUUCCUUGCUACCAUCUGGUCUCACAUUCCCUCAGUUUAGCACAUAAUUGUUGCCUAAUAGCUUCCAGUGAGUGAUUUUUUUCUCUGGCCAGAGCAGAAGCUAUUUGAGGGCAAAGACCAGGUCCUCAACUUCUCCACCCAACACAGAAUGUAGUGCCCUGAUGACAUAAUCAUAUGGCCAGAGACGAACAGCUAUGCAUUCAUUGACUGAUUAGCAAUGCCAGCCUCCUUACGGUAAGAAAACCUCCAAAGUACUUUCCUGUCUAGUUCCAUAUUCCGACCCUAAGAGAAAAGGAGAGAAAGAAUGGAGAGGUGAAGUAUCCUGUUCCCAGUCACAUAGCAACUCAGAGGAGGAUG
rnacentral:lncRNA from 1 species